AACACCUCAAACUCCAAGAUUUGUUUCUUUGGAGUUUGGAUUUGAGUAAUCCUAACGGGAAAGCAAUUUCGGUUGCUAACUUGGCAGGUCACUUGAAAUUCAGGUGCAGCUGAACAUUCUUCUGAGCUAAAAGCAUAUUUAUUUAGUCCUGUCGACUUUCGAGUUUAUGGAUUAUUACUUUUUGCUGCAGCUAAUAUAAAGGUUGAAUGCUUUCAAAUGCUGACUGAUGCAGGAAUUUAUCGGUUUCGUUUGUAAACUGUUAA
rnacentral:misc_RNA from 1 species